rnacentral:rRNA from 1 species
AGCUCCAAUAGCGUAUAUUAAAGUUGUUGCGGUUAAAAAGCUCGUAGUUGGAUUUCUGCCGAGGACGACCGGUCCGCCCUCCGGGUGAGCAUCUGGCUCGGCCUUGACAUCUUCUUGGUGAACGUAGCUGCACUUGACUGUGUGGUGCGGUACCCAGGACUUUUACUUUGAGGAAAUUAGAGUGUUUCAAGCAGGCAUACGCCUUGAAUACAUUAGCAUGGAAUAAUAGCAUUGGACCUCGAUUCUAAGCUGUUGGUUGCCAGAAGCGAGGUAAUGAUGAAGAGGGAUAGUUGGGGGGCAUUCGUAUUUAACUGUCAGAGGUGAAAUUCUUGGAUUUGUUAAAGACGAACUACUGCGAAAGCAUCUGCCAUGGAUGUUUUCAUUGAUCAAAGAACGAAAGUAGAC